ACACAGUUGUGAGGACAUCUUCUAAGAAGUUCCUUAUACUUCUCUUAUGCUUCAUACAAGGACUCUCUUUCAUGCUACACAAAUGAGGUGAUCUCUCCUCUUAGUUU